CCUACGGGUGGCAGCAGUCGAGAAUCAUUCACAAUGGGGGAAACCCUGAUGGUGCGACGCCGCGUGGGGGAAUGAAGGUCUUCGGAUUGUAAACCCCUGUCACGUGGGAGCAAAUUAAAAAGAUAGUACCACAAGAGGAAGAGACGGCUAACUCUGUGCCAGCAGCCGCGGUAAUACAGAGGUCUCAAGCGUUGUUCGGAAUCACUGGGCGUAAGGCGUGCGUAGGCUGUUUCGUAAGUCGUGUGUGAAAGGCGCGGGCUCAACCCGCGGACGGAACAUGAUACUGCGAGACUAGAGUAAUGGAGGGGGAACCGGAAUUCUCGGUGUAGCAGUGAAAUGCGUAGAUAUCGAGAGGAACACUCGUGGCGAAGGCGGGUUCCUGGACAUUAACUGACGCUGAGGCACGAAGGCCAGGGGAGCGAAAGGGAUUAGAUACCCCGGUAGUC
rnacentral:rRNA from 1 species